CCAUGACUGCUGCCUGCAGAAGAAACAGCUUUCUCAAAGUGUUUUAACCGAAGACGUCCCAUCUCAAAUUUGGCCAACAAUUACUCUGUGAUGUGGAAACCCUGAGGCCAGCCUCCAUCAGUGGAGAGUUUUGCCGGGAAAGAACCGCAACGCUGAUCGUGAUGGUUCUUACUUUACCCUUAAAAAUGUCUCCUCCGUAUAUUAAUCUUCCCGUUGCACGCUGAUAUAAGCCGGUGACUGACUGCCCGGGAGGGAGGGGGACGUCCCCCCAGUGCCCGGUUUUGUGCAGGGCUGUGAUGGGGAUGUUGCAGAGUCUUCUGAAAGCUGCCGGCGGGGGACAUACUGCGGGGCUGGGCUUGGACAAGCUCAACAGCUCUUGUGUAAAUGACCUUGAGCCAAACCUCCCUCUCAUGCACACAGCCGGGUAGGAAAAAAGAUGUGUAGCACGCUGGAUGUGGAAAUUAGUCAGCAGCCCCUCCGAGCGUGAGAGUAGGGCUGGGUGAGCAGAGAUGCUCCCUUUGGUAAAACAGAGCAAGACCUCUUAGCUGGACCGUGGCCACAGACACCAGCUCCCGGGGCUC